UGGGAGGAGCCCCUGGCGGAGUUAAUUACAGCACUUCCCUGACCGUGGUUAGCAAUUGACAGUUUCACACCCAAGACAGUAUCAUCAGCUCCAACAAGGGCUUUUGUUUGCAAAUGCAGCGCAAUUUCUCUAAGCCUCAGCAGGAAGUUAGAGUGGGGUUAUUCCGAAGGAAAAGGGGGCUGUGGAAAAGGGAAGAGUCAAGCCAAGGACUGGAGUCCGGUAACCGUAGGGCAAUAAUUCCUCGCCCCCUCCCCCAACCACACUCUCUUCAAACCCAGCUCCCUCAGAUCAAAAAACGCAAAAGGCUUUGGUGCCCUGCAAUCCUAUCUGCGCCACAAGAGCCGGAACCAGCUCCGCGGAUUACAUUCAUAGAGAAGAGGAAAUACACAGAAACUACCUGAUUGGCUGCAAUUACUGUUUGCCUAAUAUGAGCAGAAUACAAGAGGCAUUCGUCUUAUACGGACAAGAUCUCAUCAGUUGGCAGGCUGUGACUGAAGCUCAACAUCUGUUUAAUUGGCUGAUCCUCACCUGCAACAAGACUAUACCUGCAGCUCCUGCCUCCAAGUUCCUGCCCUGUUUGAGUUCCUGUCCUGACUUCCUUUG